rnacentral:rRNA from 1 species
UACGGGGGGGGGCAAGCGUUGUUCGGAAUUACUGGGCGUAAAGGGCUCGUAGGCGGCCAACUAAGUCAGACGUGAAAUCCCUCGGCUUAACCGGGGAACUGCGUCUGAUACUGGAUGGCUUGAGUUUGGGAGAGGGAUGCGGAAUUCCAGGUGUAGCGGUGAAAUGCGUAGAGAUCGGCAGGAACACCCAGGGGGAAACCAGUCGACUGGGCAUCUACUGACGCUGAGGUGCGAGAGCGUGGGGAGCGAACCGG